UAUAAGCAAGCGUAUCAUUCAGCACGAUUUGCGGGAAAGUAGUCAUCCAUAUUGGUUGAAGCAGUUGUUCUUCACUUUUAUUCUGUUUUCUAUAAAGUCACAGCACUGGGCAUCAUCUGCAGUCAAGACUGGGGUCAUAAGCUGUCAUAGGAGGCCAAUCCACAAUUGAUACCUCCAUAAAUCAGCUGGUUGUCUACCAUUCACCCCAAAAAAGUCUGCUGAAGUGGUCAUGGCGUGCAUGCGUCUGCACAAUUUGUGUGUCUCACGAAAUGUGUCACUGCUAGAGGCCAUAGAAGUUGAGGCGGGUGAUCAUAACUUGCCAGUACCAAUCGCCGAAAAUAGAGAUGGUCAGAACAGAAAGCGAGAUUUAUUACGACUGUUUGAAUAAUUUCAAACUUGAAUAAAUUAAAAUCAUGUGUGUCAUUGUUAAAAAAAUUUGAUGACAGUAAUAGCAACUGUAAACACAAUUAUUUGCUUUAUUUUAAGCAUAUUUUCAACUGAACUGUUCAUUCAACAAAUUCAGGGAAUUAACUGCUCUGGUAAAAGUUGGUUUUCGCUCAACAUUUUAAAUUUUUUCUGUGUAACUAGUGAUUCCAAUUUAUUGCUUAUGUCCAAGAGAAUUGUAUUCCUAGCCUUUUCCACUUCUAGCCUUUCUCUCUCAAUACUGAUUAGUUCCAUCCUGUAUGAUUCAUCAGAACCUGUAAAUAUGACAUGUGUUUUAUUACUUGCAAAUUAGUUAGCAAUCACUUCUUUUAUAUUUGUUACAUAUGGUUCACAGUAUAACUAUUUAAUCUCGAAAUAUUUGUGGUAUGUCAGAUUGUUUUAAUUUUUUCAUUGGCAUUCAUGAAUGCUGACAUGUUUGUAUUUAUUAAUAAAUUCGUUUACAUGAUUUCGAAAAUUAAUAAUUGUUAUUUUUAAUUUAAUGUACAAAACACUUGCUUUCAUAAUUCCUUUUCUGCCCCUGUUCACCCAUAAUGGGCUUCUGUCCCUGUUUACAGAUAAUGGGAUUCUGUCCCUGUUCACAGGUAAUGGGCUUCUGUCCCUGUUUACAGGUAAUGGGCUUCUGUCCCUGUUCACCAGUAAUAGGCUUCUGUCCCUGUUCACCGGUAAUGGGCUUCUGUCCCUGUUUACAGAUUAUGGGCUUCUGUCCUUGUUCACCGGUUUGUCCAGUCGACACUUCUACUACAUCAUUUUUCUCUUUGGUGCCUUGUUAAAAAUAUAAAUACAUUAUAUUUUUACUAGUUUAAUUGAUAAGAAAACCGCAAUUAUUUUACAUGAAGGUAUGUCUUUGUUGAUGUCCUUUAAUUUGUAUGCCCCCCCCCCCCCCCUUCGUAGAAGCGGGGGUAUAUUGUUUUGCACAUGUCGGUCGGUCGAUCCGUACAUCAACCAGAUGGUUCCUGAAUGAUGACUCAAGAACGCUUACGGAUAGGAUCAUGAAACUUCAUAGUUACAUUGAUCAUGACUGGCAGAUGACCUCUAUUGAUUUUCAGGUCACAAGGUCAAAGGUCAAGGUCACAGUGACUCGAAACAGUAAAAUGGUUUCCGGAUGAUAACUCAAGAAUGCUUACGCCUAGGAUCAUGAAACUUCAUAGGUAAAUUGAUCAUGACCUGCAGAUGACCCCUAUUGAUGUUCAGGUCACUACGUCAAAGGUCAAGGUCACAGUGACAAAAAACGUAUUCACACAAUGGCUGCCACUACAACUGACAGCCCAUAUGGGGGGGCAUGCAUAUUUUACAAACAGCCCUUGUUUAAAUACAAAUAUACAUAUUGAAAAGUACAUUUUAUAUCAUAGUUUAAGAUUGAAAUAAUUUAAUUUAUAUGUAAACAUUCAUACAUUGUUCAGCAUCCUCUGGCGCAUCGUUUGAAUUUGACUCUUCAAGUGGCAGAGCUGGAAACUUAAAUGUUUAGUUAAUCUCGCAUAAAAAGUAAAAAAGGUUGCAAAUAAAAGGGUUUUUUUUAAGUGAACGCAUACUAUGUUAUCAUGUUAGAUUGUUCAAAACGUGUACUUGUAAAUUAAUACCAUACAAAAAUGUAAACCAUGAGUAUGAAUUUUGCUAUAUAUCUAUUAUGUCCAUGCACUGCAAUUUGGGUUACUCAUUGUUUUAACUUGUACAUAACAUCAUCUUGUAACUAUUGAAUAAGUUACUGUUAUAUGAAUUGUAAUUAAAUGUUUUAUGGCAGUAAAGCGAUACAUUCUUACCAAUUGAGUUCAUGAGAAAUACAUCUCCGUGGUCAUUCACACCAGACAUCG